CCGGCCGUAAACUCUGGGUACUAGGUGUAGGGGGCUUCGAUGCCCUCUGUGCCGUAGUUAACGCAUUAAGUACCCCGCCUGGGGAGUACGAUCGCAAGGUUGAAACUCAAAGGAAUUGACGGGGGCCCGCACAAGCGGUGGAGCAUGUGGUUUAAUUCGAUGCAACGCGAAGAACCUUACCAGGGCUUGACAUCUGCCUGACGGUCUUUGGAAACUUAGGCUUUCUUUCGGGACAGGUAGACAGGUGG
rnacentral:rRNA from 1 species